rnacentral:misc_RNA from 1 species
AACAUCGCGCACCUGCGGGAACCUGCGGAGGGAUCAUUACCGAGUGUGAACCCCCCCGUAAAAAAGAGGGGUUACCUCCCGUCCUUUGCUGGGAACCCCUUUCAAACUUGGAAGGAGGUUGUUUUCAGACCCUUCUGCUUCGGUGGGGUAACCCACCGGAACAACCUCAAAAAUAUUCUCAAUUCAAAACCGUUCAGUCCGAGAACUUUUUUGAAAAGCGAAAAAACUUUUAACAAUGGA